rnacentral:rRNA from 1 species
AGUAGCCGCGGGAAUACGAAGGGUGCAAGCGUUACUCGGAAUUACUGGGCGUAAAGCGUGCGUAGGUGGUGGUUUAAGUCCGUUGUGAAAGCCCUGGGCUCAACCUGGGAAUUGCAGUGGAUACUGGGUCACUAGAGUGUGGUAGAGGAUAGUGGAAUUUCCGGUGUAGCAGUGAAAUGCGUAGAGAUCGGAAGGAACAUCUGUGGCGAAGGCGACUAUCUGGGCCAACACUGACACUGAGGCACGAAAGCGUGGGGAGCAAACAGGAUUAGAUACCCCGGUAGUCCCUGUCUUUAUACAC